UAUGGCCACAUCACAUUGAAGCACCAGUUCCCAUACAAUCACUGAAGUUAAGCAACAUUGAGCCUAAUUAGUACAUAGAUGGGUGACCA